UGCGGGAUUCUGCUUCAUGCAAUUUUGCACCUUUUUCUGUCAUUCUCUAAGCACUUUACCUGGACGGCAGGUGGACAGGCCCUGGAGCUCUGGGUUAGGAAAGGCUCGGAACCCUAGACUAUGGUGAGGGGCACACGUGUCAGCGACAAAGUUGCUCCACCAUUCUCCACCUGAUGCUGCUGCAUCAGGCUCAGCUCAGGACCGGGCUGCCCUUCUCCAAGCUGAGAUGUAACUUGUCUAGAAGCCAAAAUGAUGCCACAGCCUGGGGCCUGCUGGGUUUUGUCGUCACUUCACAUCCAUAUGAACAUGGACUCUCUGGGCUCCGCCCACCUGGCAGCUUUGAAGGCUCAGGGACCGAUGGACUCUCUCUGUGCACAGCCCCCCCCCCCAGCCCCUCCCACCCUGGCUACCCGGGGCAACCACCUGCCUGCAUCUUACUCCAACAGUUCAGAGCCACGUUGCACAGCAUUCCAGAACCAUUGAGCCUUUUGGGGCAGGCAGUUGUUCACCUUGACGUCUUUCACCUGUUAGCAUUGACUCCCACCAAGCAUGAUGGGUAGCGUGUCUGGACCAGAGAAGAAGGGCUGGGGCAUUCUGCAGUUUAAACAGAGAGAAGAAUAGGGGCCUUUAUUUAUUAUUCAAAACUCCGAACCUGGAAGCACUGUUAGUUUGCUGGUCUGUCUCCUCUGUGCUCUUGUCUGUGUCUGUGUCCUCGAUCCUGACUCAAGCAAUCCCGCUCUGUUUUGCUGACUCCUGAGCAGACAUAGCUUGUGGGCCAGGACCUUGCCAGCCUUGAGUGGCAGUGGCUUCAGAAGUGAAAUGAUCUGGCUGUCUGCAUUCGAAUGACUCCCCAGUCCCAGCCUAGCCUCUCUUUUGCACUGCUGGUUCAGCCCACUGGGCCUCCGUCCUUUCCUCUGGAAGGGACUUGGCCUUGGGUGACAAAUUCCUCUUUGAUGAAUGUACCCUGUGGGAAUGUUUCAUACUGACAGAUUAUUUUUAUUUAUUCAAUGUCGUAUUUAAGAUAUUUAUUUUUUAUACUGAAGGAGCACCCUUUUUUUAAGAGAAAUAAAUGAAAUAAUAAAGAACCCAUUCUUGUCGA
rnacentral:lncRNA from 1 species